UUUUUAUUUUUUAAAAAAUUAUUUUAUUUAUUUAGGUAUUCGGGCCAAGCUUGAUGCUGAUUGGAUUGGAUCUGAAUUUUCUUGAGCCUAUUCUGACCUCCUGAAUAAGCCUGAACAUUAAAAAUUAAUAUUUUUUGGGACUUGAUCUUAAAUUCUUUGGAUAGGUUUGGUUUAAAUUACCGAUUUUAAAUUUUAUGCAAUAUAAUUUCUAGUUUUAAACAAUCAUUUAAGGUUCAUUUCUCUUCUCCAGUGCAAAUCAUGAAGAAUAAUAUAUUUUCAAUCAACAUUUUGUACACAAUUUUUUCACAGAUUUUUACUUGUCAAACUGUAAUAGGAUUUUGUAAACUUUUGUUAUCAACACUUCCAUGUCUUGUGGGCCAAAAAACUGUGAGCAGAAGUUACAAACAAGUUCAUCUUUGGGGAGGAAAUUUAAAGAUUUUCUUGAAAAGCUCAAGUGUAAUUUAUUCCUCAUGGGAAAAGCUUUUCAAAUUGAAAUGUAAAUGAGGUUUAAAACUUUGAACUAUUGCUUCAGUGUUUAUAUUUCAUAUUUGCUAAUGCGUACACAUUAGUUGGAGCAACUAAUUUAUAUAUGUUAAAAACAAGGAAGAGAUAUAAAUAUCAUUUCUGGUACACAUUAAAGGCUUUGAUUAGAGGUGAAAGUUUGGUUUCCCUAUUUCAUCAUAUAAAUUCUUAUAUUCUCACCUUGCUAAAGCUGGUAAGCCAAUACUGAAUCUUAUCUUUAUUGCCCUAUUUUGUCAUAUAAGUGAACUAUUGCUUUUUUGUCCAAACCCUAGCGUGUUGCAAGUUUAUACUUUUGGUACCAUCAAUUUUUCAGAUUUAAUAGCUUGCAACUAUUUUUUUGCUUCUUUGAAGAGAAUGAGAAUUUCAAGAAGAUUGUAGUGGAGAUUAGAUGAAGGUAGAAUUGUACUUUCUUGCACUAUAAAAGAAGACGGUGUAAAGAUAGCAGGAUGAAGUCUUGCUUUAAUGGUGAAACAUUUGUGCAUUUUUUUUUAUUACAUUUAUGUACGUUCUCUUUUUGAUCAUUUUGGUCUAGACUUGUUGGCGGUAUGGAGGUAAAUCGUGAGCUGCUUGAGUCAUGCUUAGAAGGAUAUUAUUUUUAAAAACUAUUUUAGCACGCUAAGAUGACGGACUGGGAAUUCUCUAAGAUUAAAUAAGCACGUCUUGCAAAACGCAAGGGCACGGAACAUCAAACACUAGCAAACUCAGAUGAAGAAGAACAUAGUGGAUGAGGAAAGAAAGCCCCAAAAGCUCAAGAGGCUAGCACAUUAUUCUAUUUACACCCAUAGCUAUAUAUAAAUCGAAGGUAGAGACAUGAACGUUGGGCUCAUAAUCACCGGAUUAAACACCAUUAUACUUCGAUUACACGAACAUAAAGUAGCUUAAAUCCUCAGUGGGGACAAACACAUAAUAGACUUGAUUAAUGUAAAUCCAUUUAAGAAUUCAUUUAAAAGCCAAAAAAACGUUUAGGGUUGAAUUCAAAUUUCAAACGGCUAAAAACAAGGUUUUCUGAUAAGCUCAAUUAUUUAUUUAUUUUUUGUAAAAAUAAUCUGAUAAAAGAAACCUAGUGCCUCUUGAACUCGCGUACAGGGGGCUGAAUCGGUUGUUUUUAGUUGCGAUUGCCUUAAGUUCACUUGUUUCGUGUGUGCGAGCUUACUUUUUCUCUAAACUCAUUUUACUAGCUCAUUUUAUUUUUUAACAUUUAUAUAUUAAGAGCACUUUUCAUUCAGAUAAUGUGAAGCUUCUUUUGGCACAUACAUUCAAUUACUACAAGACUGUCAUGUGAAUGUCUGUGUACAUGUUUUUAAGUCCGGUCUACCUUGCCCUGUCAUGCUUGACAGAAAAAAAUUGUGUAAAUCAUAUAUCCAAAUAAAAUGCUGAAAUGAAAAGGUUUUAUUAGCAUCAAUGUCACUCCUAAUACUCCUCCAGCCAGGCCAGAAACAGUAUCGGCUCCAGACUCGAAAGCUUGUAGCAGUGAAUAGUUCUUAGCUUUCACUUGCGUGUGGCUCUGAACCCGUUAAUGGAGUACUACACGGUAUUCCUUUUUUCAAAUUUAAACCCCUCAUUUUUUCUACUCCAAAUACAUCUCUCUUUAUCCGUUCAUUUGUCAGCUUUUGCAAUUCCAUACAUUUUCUCUCUCUCCCAGUCUUCCUUCUGCUCUCCGUUGGUUUUGUGCAUUCCUCCUCUCUCUCUUGCCGCCACCAGUUCUUGAUUUCUUGCUCCCUCUGAUUUUCCUCGCAAGCGACCCUUGCUCUUCGCUCAUUGUAAGAGAUUUCGUGUGUUACUUUCCCUCUUACUCUCUUUACCCCGACUUCUCCCAAAAAGAAUUGAUCCAAGUGGGUGAGGGAAGAAAGCGAGAAGAUCUAAAGUAGUAGAAGGAAUAGUCCAGGGUUUUGUUCAGUGACGGCAAAUAUCACUUCCCAUUGAUUUUGUUGGUUGGUUGGUGGUCAUUUAUUUCGAUUUAUUUCAAUUCUGAGCAAGUAGUGUUCAUCUAUUAGUUCAAAACAUGGCCGUAAAUGUAUUCACCCUUUCUUUGGCUAUUGGGGGAUUUAACGCCAGUUUGAGCUUUGAUUUAUCAGCAUCGCGAAAAGUUCAAACGUGGCCAUCUGCGUGUGCUUGCAAGGUGACAAAAUGUAAGUUGUUGGCACAGCCGUCUCUCUGAGCUUGUGAAGAACUAGUGCUUGUGUGGAAUCUAACAGAACUAGCUCUUCCCAAGAAGGUGACUUGCUGUAAAAUUUUAUCUGCCAAGUAAGAAUAGGAGGGAUUCACAAGGAAUAUGCCUCUUAGGCAAGGUUGAUCAAACUCAAUCUACAAAAACGUCAGCUCACGAGUUAGCUGCUGGCUCGUAGCUCGUUUGUUCAGCUACUCUAUGAGCCUGCUUUUCAGUUAAAUAACUCACUUUUCGUUGCGAGAUGCUAUUGUUUUUUUGUCAAACCAGCUUUUGGGUUGUGCUGAGAAGAUUGUUGCUCUCGGUUGGUACUGGUGAGCAUUAUUUGUAUUUAUUUUCUUCUUUUUUUUUCCCUCUAUGGCCUUUAUUUAAAUUGCAGUAACUACAUGUAGCCUUAUAGGAUCAGGCAUUUUCUUUUCCCCAGACAUCAAAAGGUGAGACUUGACAGUGGGCAUGUGAAAUUAAGGGCUUUUGGUGAGUGCAUAUAAGUUUUUACGAUCAUCGAUAUAUUUAUUCAUACUGCCGACAUCGUUUACGAUAGAAGAAAUAUAGCACAUGUACUUGUUAUGAGUAAAAAAAAAAAAAACUUAAACUUUCUUGACCAUCUAUUAGUUAUAAAGGUUAUCUUUUCCUUUCAUUUUUCAUAAGUUGACAUGUGAAGUGUUAAACUCAGUUUCUUGGGCAUCUCAUCUUAAUUAAAUAAAAUUGUGCUGAUGUAGGGUAGUUCAAAGUCAUGGGGAAAGAAUUGAUUCAGGAUCAAGAAUUAAUUUCUAUGUAUGGAGCAUCUAUAAAUUUUUUUUCGUUCUAAUAGCAUGGAUGUUAGUUGUUGAUAUAUAAGCAGUAUUUAUACUUCUGUUCUAAUAGCAUGAAUUAAGUUAUGAAUUAUUUAAAAUUGUGUUUCAUCUCCAAGUAGUUAGAUUAAUUUCUAUUUAUGAAGUAUUUGUAAUUUGUUUCUUUUCUAAUAGCAUGGAUGUUAAUUUUUUCUCAACGCAAGCUGACAUUAUGAUCAGUUAUUCAGGCCAAUUCAUAUAAUCCAACCUGUAUUCCUGGUGCCAAUUUAUUAUACCAAAUUCAUCUAACAUAUUCAUACAAUCUGAUUGUUCAUUUGUUGUUUUCACCGUGAUAGAUCAAUGUGCAAUCUUGACAUUUUUUAUGUUUGGCCUCUCCAUCCUUAUUAGUUAAAAUUUUCAUGCUUGGCUUCUCCA